UCCUACGGGAGGCAGCAGUGGGGAAUAUUGGACAAUGGGGGCAACCCUGAUCCAGCCAUGCCGCGUGUGUGAAGAAGGCCUUUUGGUUGUAAAGCACUUUAAGCAGUGAAGAAGACUCCAUGGUUAAUACCCAUGGACGAUGACAUUAGCUGCAGAAUAAGCACCGGCUAACUCUGUGCCAGCAGCCGCGGUAAUACAGAGG
rnacentral:rRNA from 1 species